rnacentral:rRNA from 1 species
AACGUAGGGCGCAAGCGUUGUCCGGAAUUAUUGGGCGUAAAGAGCUCGUAGGCGGCUUGUCACGUCGAUUGUGAAGGCCCGAGGCUCAACCUCGGAACUGCCUUCGAUACUGCGGGUCUCGAGUCCGGGAGAGGUGAGUGGAAUUCCUAGUGUAGAGGUGAAAUUCGUAGAUAUUAGGAAGAACACCAGUGGCGAAGGCGGCUCACUGGCUCGGUACUGACGCUGAGGCGCGAAAGCGUGGGGAGCAAACAGG